AUGUGGUACGAAAGGAGAGAAGGUUAGCACUCACCUUCAGAAGGAUGAAGUCCUCGUCGCCUUUACAAAACAUAUAUGGUUAAGGCAUUGCCACCUACUUGGUAGAAUCUAAACACGUUCAUUC